rnacentral:rRNA from 1 species
CCUACGGGUGGCAGCAGUGAGGAAUAUUGGUCAAUGGCCGGAAGGCUGAACCAGCCAAGCCGCGUGAAGGACGAAGGUGCCAAGCAUUGUAAACUUCUUUUGUCAAAGGACAAAAUCAGGCUCGAGAGCCUGACCGAGGGUACUUGAAGAAAAAGCAUCGGCUAAAGCCGUGCUAGCAGCGGCGGUAAUACGGAGGAUGCGAGCGUUAUCAGGAUAUAUUGGGUUUAAAGGGUGCGUAGGCGGGCUUUUAAGUCAGCGGUAAAAGCCCGGGGCUCACCCCCGUCGAGCCGUUGAAACUGGGUGUCUUGAGAUGUCGAGAGGGAUGCGGAAUGCGCAGUGUAGCGGUUAAAUGCUUAGAUAUUGCGCAGAACUCCGAUUGCGAAGGCAGCAUACCGGCGGCGAUCUGACGCUGAGGCACGAACGCGUGGGUAUCGAACAGGAUUAGAUACCCUUGUAGUC